CCAUUUCUAACCACAAUGUGCAUCCGUUUAAAACUGGUUUUAAAACCAAAUACACUGCACCAGGGGCAUGUGUUGGAUAAUACAAGUGUAGGUGGCAUUCCAGUUGAAUUCAGGCAUCCCCAAACCUCCUCUGCUGUCCCCUGGCCCAACCUAUUGCAGUGACUGCUACAAACAGAAGGUAAGAAGACAAUAGUGGCCAAGUGGUUUGUGAGGACCAUGGCUGAUGGUUCUGUGCAUUGUCUAGAGUCCAGCCAGAGUCCACACUGAUGAUGGGAUACGUAACAUUUCUCCUGACAGAUGAUUACUGUCAGGGAAAACAACAGCCUGCACGGAGGAGCUGCAGACUGUGCUAGGACAACAGCUGAACCCACCCCUCCCCCGUGUCCUCCAGGGGCUCUCAUGUGAUUCUGUGUUGGGCAAAAGGGUGGAAAUGUAAGGGAGGUUAAAAACGGCAAGACAGCACUCAGAAAAAGUAUGGAGGGAGGUCUGUUAAUAGUAAUUUAUGGGAAAAGUAAUUUAUGAUGUUAGAUUAACCAAAUGUUAAUGGCCUUUGUCCUCAGGACACAUUUUUGCAGAGUGUCCAGGCCAAAAGCUCCUCAGGCGUGAGGCCGGCAGCCCAGCAUGGACAUUUUCAGAGCACUUUGAGAUUUACUUUAAUGAGAACAGUCACUUGUAUAAAACCAAAAAUAGACAUAGGAGGAGGUUCAGGAGAAAGGAACUUGUUCCUUUCGGGUAAAUCACAAGGAACAAAGAGGGAAAAUUUCGAUCUUUAAAACUGCUUUCUCUAGCCUCAUCUAUUAAACUUCCCAUUUUCUGGAGGCUGCUGUUUUGAGGCAUUAAGAGACUUGUAUUUUAAUAUACAAACCACAAAACCCUGGCUUUUCUCUGUGCUAUGCCAUUAUCUGGCUCUUGGCAGACUUAAAAUUCUUCCUUUUAAAACUAUUUCCUUUUGGGAGUCAGCUGAAAGUCCGGUUCAAGCACCACAUUGAUAAAACUGAACACAGGACACCUCUUAAAAGGCAGCAAUUAUGGGUCCCAGUAGAAAAACAGUCCGUGGUGCCAGGCUUCCGAGACAUCAUGCCUCAAAUGUGGCUUUGUGUCAACGCAGCUGUAUCCACAGGCAAAAAGUUAAAAGACUUAUUUAAAAAUCUUUCCACUUCUGGAAGCUCUCUCUCUCUGCAACUUUGCUGCUGAGCAGGAGCAGAGUCGGGGUAGAACGAUGCUCUCGCAGCUACCAGGACCCUGCUGGGUCUGGCACUUCCAUGCCCUGACCUUGGGAGCCUGUGUCCAUGGCUGUCCUGUUCUCUAACCUCGGCCCCGGUUUCCACGCUUUCUCAUUUCUGUCUGAGCAGGCCUGAGCAAGUGUCUUGAUAGUUGGUCAGUAUCGAGGUCUAGAAGGAAAAGUCAUACUUUUCUGUCUGUCUAUAUUCAGAUGGCAAAAUAGUAAAACCUGCAUAUUCAUUCUGCACAGGAUGAGCUCACAGGGAACCAGAAUUUUUUUUUUUUAAUUUGCAAAAUCUGGUGGUUUAAGUCUACACAACUUUAAUACAGUUUAGGCUUUUGAUAUCCAGUGAAUUCUAUCCCCUUACUACUCCCCAAAUGGCCAAUAGCUUGAAUUUUGUCCCAGUGCAAUUCUCACAAAGGUAGUGACCAUUGUACGGAAUGGAUGUACAGAGACCUGAGGAAAGCCAGAUGAGUUUGGACAACUAAAUGGCCGACUGAUGGUAGAGAAUUAGAAAAAUGAUUUUAGUUUAAAUAAAGAGUCAUCCUUACUACUGUUGAAUUUCCUCCCAAGUGGAAAUCAUUCUAUAAUGGCUGUGUCUAUUAUAGUAUAUUACAGUAACUGCAGGUGUCAAAAGUGUUCUAUGUCAGGCUAGAAUAACCUAGAGGCAGUAGUUUUUUAAAUGAUAAAAUAAAUCGAAUGGAUAUAAACUCACGAUAAACCUAUUUUUUCCAUCAUCAACCUUUUCAAGUAUUUAAAUAAAUAACUGCUAUGUACUGUGAAAAAAAAACUGUUUCAUUCUUAAACCGGGAAGAGGAUUGUUACUGAUUAAUAAGAGCAGAUGUACAUCUCCGGCUUUUUUUCUUUUAGUCAGAUCUUCCAGAAGAGACCCCACUCUUUUUUUUUUUUUUUUUUUUUUGAGAUGGAGUCUUGCUCUGUCACCAGGCUGAAGUGCUGUGGUGUGAUCUCAGCUCACUGCAACCUCCGACUCCCUGGUUCAAGUGAUUCUCCUGCCUCAGCCUCCCAAGUAGCUGGGAUUACAGGCACACACCACCACGCCCAGCUAAUUUUUUGUGUGUUUUUAGUAAAGACGGGGUUUCACCAUGUUGGCCAGGAUGGUCUCGAUCUCCUGACCUCAUGAUCCACCCACCUCAGCCUCCCAAAGUGCUGGGAUUACAGGCAUGAGCCACCUUGUCUGGCCGAGACCCUGCUCUUUUUAAGUCAACUUUUUAUUGAAGUAUAAUGUGUACAUGAAAAGUACACAUAUCAUAUAACUGUAGCUCGAUGGAUUUUCAAAAAGUACACCACUUAACUAGCAUUAAGAUCAAGAAACAGAAUGCCACCAACACCUCAAUGUCCCCUCCCUCCCCCUUGCUUUUAUUUUCUCAUCAAGCAGGAGUCAGCAAAUCUGGCCCCUGCCUAUUUUAGCAAAUAAAGUUUUAUUGGAACACAGCCCUGCUCAUUCAUUUACAUCUCAUCCAUGGUUGCUUUUGUACUGGAAUGGUGGAGUGAAUGUUUGCAACAAGGACCAUAUGGCCUGUGGAGCUUAAAAAAGUUACUCUGUGGAUCUCUACAGAAAAAAGUUUAUGGGCCCCUCCCUGUUCUAGAGCAGAACUGAUCAGUAGAAUAUAAUGCGACUCACAGUCAUAAUGUUAAAUUUUCUAGUAACCAGAUUAAAAAGUAAGAUUAGACAGGUAAAAUUAAUUUUAAUACUAUUUAAUUUCCCAAUAUAUCUAAAAUGCCACUUAAAUAUGUAACCAAUUUCAAAAAUGAGAUAUUUUAUCUCUUUUUCAUUAUGUUUCUAAAUCUGGUAUGUAUUUUACACUGAUUGCACAUCUCAGUUCACACAAGCCACACGUCAAGUGCUGGACAGUGCCAUGUAUUCUGGGACUACUGUGCUGGGUGCCACACUUCUAGAACCCCCUCUGGGUCUCCGGAAGCUGAAGUGGCAGCACCUCUACCCUCUUGUUGAGCCCACUGCCAGUCUAGGCACCUCCCUUUUAACUGCAUGCACGUUUAUGCAUAAGCUUUCCUGAUUCUUUAAAAUGUGAAUUUUCAAAACCACCCUGAGAAAUCCUACAACACUUAGUAGUAACAUAUCUCAGGGAUGAAGAGUAAGGAACUGUGGCCUAAACUGACAGUUUUAUGAGCAAGGGUAGAGUGAGCUGAUGAGCAUCAAAACCCUUUGGACUUUCACUAAGGGAAAAAUUACAUGAAAACUGCAAACAAAUGCUAAAUGCUUCAGAUGAAGGAUAAAAAGCAAAAAAGGAAUCAAUGAGCAUCCCUCAAGAGGAUCUUCAGCAACUCAGCUGUGCCAUUAUCCUAUUCAGUGACAAAACAAUGUUGACUGCAGGGCAAAACAGUAAUUUAAUUUUGGUCUGCCCAAUAUUACAAAAAGAGAUAAACAAAAGAAAAAUGG
rnacentral:lncRNA from 1 species